AACAGGAUUAGAUACCCUGGUAGUCCACGCUGUAAACGAUGUCGAUUUGGAGGUUGUGCCCUUGAGGCGUGGCUUCCGGAGCUAACGCGUUAAAUCGACCGCCUGGGGAGUACGGCCGCAAGGUUAAAACUCAAAUGAAUUGACGGGGGCCCGCACAAGCGGUGGAGCAUGUGGUUUAAUUCGAUGCAACGCGAAGAACCUUACCUACUCUUGACAUCCAGAGAAUUUAGCAGAGAUGCUUUAGUGCCUUCGGGAACUCUGAGACAGGUGCUGCAUGGCUGUCGUCAGCUCGUGUUGUGAAAUGUUGGGUUAAGUCCCGCAACGAGCGCAACCCUUAUCCUUUGUUGCCAGCGCGUAAUGGCGGGAACUCAAAGGAGACUGCCGGUGAUAAACCGGAGGAAGGUGGGGAUGACGUCAAGUCAUCAUGGCCCUUACGAGUAGGGCUACACACGUGCUACAAUGGCGCAUACAAAGAGAAGCGACCUCGCGAGAGCAAGCGGACCUCAUAAAGUGCGUCGUAGUCCGGAUUGGAGUCUGCAACUCGACUCCAUGAAGUCGGAAUCGCUAGUAAUCGUAAAUCAGAAUGUUACGGUGAAUACGUUCCCGGGCCUUGUACACACCGCCCGUCACACCAUGGGAGUGGGUUGCAAAAGAAGUAGAUAGCUUAACCUUCGGGAGGGCGUUUACCACUUUGUGAUUCAUGACUGGGGUGAAGUCGUAACAAGGUAACCGUAGGGGAACCUGCGGCUGGAUCACCUCCUU
rnacentral:rRNA from 1 species